AAGAAGGCAGCCAGGUUCAAUUGAGUGUCUGCUCGUGCACAGAAGGCGCAGCCAAAUAUCACCCAUCAUGAUGAGUGGUACUCUUCAUGAAAACAAUCUUCCAGGAGAUUUCUCUUCGUGAUUUGGUCACUUAUCCAUGACAGUCUUUCAAUGCAAGACCAGUUUCAAUGGAAAAUAAUAGUGUCUCCGAUUUGAAAUAAUUCUAUAGUGAAGAUAGUUAUGACUGUUACCUCUCAGACAUAUAAACAAACAAUAUAAUGGAUAUGUAUAGGAAAAUUUUUCCUUUCCUGGAAGAUUUGUGUUAAAUUAUUUUGUGAACUUUGUGCACCAGAUUCCCUUAAUGGAGAAGUGUAUCUACCACCCCUUCCUAAGGAAGCAUCUCUUUAUAGCAAAUGGAGAGCAUCAUAGAAAAUCACAACUAGACAAUGAAGACAGAGACCAGCAUUUCACAGGGAACUCAGUCCCAAUAGAUACAUCUGCAUUACAGCUUCCAAAGCUAUGGGUCAGGCACCAUCGCCAACUGGAAAGAUUGUAAAGAGUCAGAAUACAAUGAAG
rnacentral:lncRNA from 1 species